AACUUUUAACAAUGGAUCUCUAGGCUCUGAAAUGUGAUAAGUAAUGUGAAUUGCAGAAUUCAGUGAAUCAUUGAAUCUUUGAACGCAUCUUGCACCUUUUGGUAUUCCAAAAGGUACACCUGUUUGAGUGUCAU
rnacentral:rRNA from 1 species